CUAUUUUGGGCCAUGUAGGCCACAUGGGCUAGGCAAUUUGAGUCGUGUGGGCCCAAAACUCAGGAUUUUUUCCUAGGGUCGUACACGUCGUCUUGAUCAACUAUGGGCCUUCCAUGGGGUAACCUCCAGACUUAGGCGGGUCGGUGCGACAUGAGCUCAGUUAUAUCCACAUAUUCGUAAACUCAAUUUAUUUAAAUUUGACUUAUUCAAAAUUCUGGUUUGAGAGUUUUGUGAAUUUUUUACUCUCUGGAUAUUUGGGGCUAUUUUUUGGUUUUGGAUUUUAUUUUGGAUUUUUUUCGUGUGAUAUUGAUAAAACAAUUUAUUGAAAA